CUGGGAUCCCGCCAGAGAGGGCUCCCUGCUCGGCUGGAACGAGGCCCGCCGCAACUGGCCCGUCUUCUGGGAGUCCUUCCGGGGCACCCCUCCUCCGAGCCCUCCUCGCCGGGGACGAUGAUCAUAGGCUGUGGUGGUAACUCGGUUAAGCUUAAGUACUCUUGUCUCCCACAAUUUCUUCUUCUUGCUGUACGCCUGUACGUAGCUGUAGAUGUUCUUGUGAGCGUGUGUGUGUAAUACAAUGAGAUUUUGUUGGCCAGUCACUCAUCAGUAAGAGACGGAGCAGCAUAAGUAGAAAUCAUUCAUUACGGCAUAAUCCAAAGCAUAUAAUUACUGUCAAAAUAACUCUAGUCAAAAGGAAGAAACAUCCACU
rnacentral:lncRNA from 1 species